rnacentral:lncRNA from 1 species
CUUGGAACCAACCCAAAUGCCCACCAAGUAUAGACUGGGUAAAGAAAACAUGAUACAUAUACACCAUGGACUACUAUGCGGCCAUAAAAAUGGAUGAGUUCCUGUCCUUUGCAAGGACAUGGAUAAAGCUGGAAGCCAUCAUUCUCAGCAAACUAACACAGGAACAGAAAAGCAAACACUGCAUGUUCUCACUCAUAAGUGGGAGCUGAACAAUGAGAACACAUGGACACAGGGAGGGGAACAUCACACACCGGGGCUGUCGGAGUGUCGGAGGGUAGAGGAGGCAUAGCAUCAGGAGGAAUGCCUAAUGUAGAUGACAAGUUGAUGGGUGCAGCGAACCACCAUGUCAUGUGUAUACCUAUGUAACAAACCUAUAUGUUCUGCACAUGUAUCCCAGAACUUAAAGUAUAAUAAAAAAAAGAUUAUUAGCAGAAUACGUUUUCAUGACAUUUGUUUUCUUUUCCUGAUGCAAUAGAAAUUCCCAAAGUGAAAUUUUAUUCUAUAAAAAUAAUCUCUUCUUUCUAGGCUCUUUGUAGUUAGUGUGUGGUAUUGUGCCUGAGGCUCUACAGAACUGAUGCAUCUGCUGGCACACUUUGAACAUAAGUUAAUGAUACAAAGGAGCAGGAACUACACAGAAACUAUCAAAUUAAGGCAAGAGCAUUAUAUAUCAAAAUCUGAGACUCUCAGUUGGAAACAGACAUUGGUAGACGGAAAGCAGAUGUAAGAAGUGGGCAUUCUGCCAAAGUUGAAAUACCAGUAAGAAUGCAAAGUAUUUUUUUAUGUCUGACAAUGCCAAGAAAAAAAUUGGGGGCUGUCAUCAGCACUUUGGAUUCCAGGGAGUAGCUUGAUAAGCGACCUCUCAACUACUAAAAAGAAUGGAAACGGC